rnacentral:rRNA from 1 species
UACCAGCACCCCGAGUGGUCGGGACGAUUAUUGGGCCUAAAGCCUCCGUAGCCGGCCUUACAAGUCCUCCGUUAAAUCCAGCUGCUUAACAGAUGGGCUGCGGAGGAUACUAUGAGACUAGGAGGCAGGAGAGGCAAGCGGUACUCAGUGGGUAGGGGUAAAAUCCGUUGAUCCAUUGAAGACCACCAGUGGCGAAGGCGGCUUGCCAGAAUGCGCUCGACGGUGAGGGAUGAAAGCUGGGGGAGCAAACCGG